ACAGCAGCAGCCGCGGUAAUACGGAGGGUGCAAGCGUUAUCCGGAUUCACUGGGUUUAAAGGGUGCGUAGGCGGAUCUGUAAGUCAGUGGUGAAAUCUCCAGGCUUAACCUGGAAACUGCCGUUGAUACUAUAGGUCUUGAAUUUUGUGGAGGUUAGCGGAAUAUGUCAUGUAGCGGUGAAAUGCAUAGAUAUGACAUAGAACACCAAUUGCGAAGGCAGCUGGCUACACAACUAUUGACGCUGAGGCACGAAAGCGUGGGGAUCAAACAGGAUUAGAUACCCCCGUAGUCCCUGUCUCUUAUAC
rnacentral:rRNA from 1 species